GAUGAAGAACGCAGUGAAAUGCGAUAAGUAAUGUGAAUUGCAGAAUUCAGUGAAUCAUCGAAUCUUUGAACGCACAUUGCGCCCCUUGGUAUUCCGAGGGGCAUGUCUGUUCGAGCGUCAUUUUGACCACUCCCGCUUGCGGGGUCUUGGGCCUUCGCCUCUGGGCGGGCCUUAAAAUCAGUGGCGGUGCCGUCCGGCUCUAAGCGUAGUAAAUCUCCUCGCUAUAGGGUUCCGGAGGGAUGCUGGCCAACAACCCCCAACUUUUAAGGUUGACCUCGGAUCAGGUAGGGAUACCCGCUGAACUUAAGCAUAUCAAUAAGCGGAGGA
rnacentral:misc_RNA from 1 species